AUGUUACAUCAAUUUUCCAAUCCAGCCAAUACUCAGGUAAGGUUAACAAAUCUUAUUUUAUUAUUUCGGUUCAAAGCAGUGUUGUUAGAUAGUGGCUGGGGAUGUUAUAUCAUUAUAUUUGUAGUGGAAUUAAAAAAAAAAAACCAGUUAAAUUUUAUUUUUAUGCCUAUACCACAUUAUCACCUAUAUAUUCUUCAGCAUGAAUGCAUAUAA